rnacentral:rRNA from 1 species
GAUGAACGCUGGCGGCGUGCUUAACACAUGCAAGUCGAGCGAAGCAGUUAAGUUGAUUUCUUCGGAUUGAUUCUUAACUGACUGAGCGGCGGACGGGUGAGUAACGCGUGGGUGACCUGCCCCAUACCGGGGGAUAACAGCUGGAAACGGCUGCUAAUACCGCAUAAGCGCACAGAGCUGCGUGGCUCCGUGUGAAAAACUCUGGUGGUAUGGGAUGGGCCCGCGUCUGAUUAGGCAGUUGGCGGGGUAACGGCCCACCAAACCGACGAUCAGUAGCCGGCCUGAGAGGGCGACCGGCCACAUUGGGACUGAGACACGGCCCAAACUCCUACGGGAGGCAGCAGUGGGGAAUAUUGCACAAUGGGGGAAACCCUGAUGCAGCGACGCCGCGUGAGCGAAGAAGUAUUUCGGUAUGUAAAGCUCUAUCAGCAGGGAAGAUAAUGACGGUACCUGACUAAGAAGCCCCGGCUAACUACGUGCCAGCAGCCGCAGUAAUAC